AUUGAACGCUGGCGGCAGGCUUAACACAUGCCAGUCGAGCGAGCGGCGGACGGGUUAGUAAUGUCUGGGAAACUGCCUGAUGGAGGGGGAUAACUACUGGAAACGGUAGCUAAUACCGCAUACCAUCAGAUGUUCCCAGAUGGGAUUAGCUAGUAGGUGGGGUAAUGGCUCACCUAGGCGACGAUCCCUAGCGGGUCUGAGCGGAUGACGAGCCAGACUGGAACUGAGACACGGUCCAGACUCCGACGGGAGGCAGCAGUGGGGAAUAGUGCACAAUGGGCGCAAGCCUGAUGCAGCCAUGCCGCGUGUGUGCAGAAGGCCUUCGGGUUGUAAAGCACUUUCAGCGAGGAGGCGUUACUCGCAGAAGAAGCACCGGCUAACUCCGUGCCAGCAGCCGCGGUAAUUC
rnacentral:rRNA from 1 species